UACGGAGGAUGCAAGCGUUAUCCGGAAUGAUUGGGCGUAAAGGGUCCGCAGGUGGCAGUGUAAGUCUGCUGUCAAAGAAUGAGGCUUAACCUCAUCAAGGCAGUGGAAACUACACAGCUAGAGUACGGUCGGGGUAGAAGGAAUUCCUGGUGUAGCGGUGAAAUGCGUAGAGAUCAGGAAGAACACCAGUGGCGAAGGCGCUCUGCUAGGCCGUAACUGACACUGAGGGACGAAAGCUAGGGGAGCGAAUGGG
rnacentral:rRNA from 1 species